UCCUGCUGAUGAGAUAGGCUUUUAGCACAUUAAGAAAAACCAAACCAAACCUGCCUGGAUGGCAUUUUAUCCAGCUCUGCUAUUAUUGGUGAUAAGAUAUAAAUCUGUUUCCGUCCCCUUCAGCCAUUUACUUGUGCUUAAAAGUCAUCAUUGAAUAAGAGGUAGAAAUAACCAACCAAAGCUGUGGAGAAAAGGAACACGAAGAAAAGCAAGCUGAGAGCUUUGCAUGGCACUUCAGCCCCUGCUGUGCGUGAUGAGAUCGCUGCUGUCCCGUGGGUUUUCACAGCAGUCUUCCCCUGCCUGUACGGAUGCUUCUGAAUUCAAAGAAUGAAAAGAUGCAUGUGAGCUCCCAUGGGCAGCUGGUAUGAAAAAUCAUCCUGUCAGAGCUUUCCCUCUUCUGAGAGAAGUCACAAGAGCUGUGGGAAUAGGAAGAUUUUAAAAAGGAAAACUUGAGCAGGUUAUGGCAGACAAUCCACCAAAAAACAAGAGAUCAGGGAGGCUCAUUGUGCCCGUGAGUGCGGCUGAGGGAAGCAGAGUUGGAAGGUAAGGUGGUGAGGAGGAGGAGGAGGAAGCUGGAAAGCUCCUCAAAGGCAUGUGAGCUGCUGCAGGUGCUGCAGUGGGGGAGCUGCUGUGGGAGCAGAGCUUGAUUAAGAGAGGAAGAACAACAGAAAACAGCUGGGUUUAUCUCAGGGAUCAGAAGUGGCUGCUUCUGGAGGAGGAGCAGGAAGAAUGAGAAUAUUUUUUCUGAGAAAUGAAGCAGCGUGUGUUUUUCUUGCGUUUUCUUGCUCCUUUGGAUCAGCUUUCCCAGAGCUUCAGCCCCUACUGAUUCCAGUGUAAAAACUGAGUUAAGGCAAGCAUGGAUUUCCACACCUCCUUGUACCCAGCAUUUUUCUUUGUUAUCUCAGAGUAAUCUUAUUUUCCCUGAUUCCUCAACUCUAUAGAUGGUGAACCAGUUUGAGAGAGGAAUGUAGAUUUCAGGCGGGUAGAAAAAGGCUGAGCUCUGCCCUGUGCUUAGAGUGGUACUAGGGCUUCAUUUCUGAAAAGAACAGAAAGCUCUUCCUUUUCACUGUUAACAUCUUCAGAGCAAGGACCAAUAUUAGGAAUAAUUUAUACACCGCUGUACACAGGAGUGAUACAGCAGUGAUAGAAGCAUGUAUUGCAAGCCCUGGACUUCAUUAAUUAUAUAUAAAUAUGCAUACUGGGUAAAAAAACAGCCCUCCUAAUUUGUUAAUAGACUUCUGAGAUGCUAAUCUUUGCUUCAUCAGCUUAAAUGCUUGAAACAUAGUCUGGCAAUACUGUUUGUACUGUGCAGUAAUGAUCUGCUUUGGAGAGAGCACAAACCAGGGGGCAUGAGAGUGUAGUCAUCCAUUAUCCACUCCAUUAUGCACACAGGGUUCUGGUCCAUCUCUGGAGUAGCUUGGGCACAAAGAAUGUCAAAAGCAGGGGAAGGGAAUCACAGGUAAACAUGUAAAAAUUGCGUGUUGAGGAGGAUGGCAGGAAAAAAAAUGUGUGGGGAUUUAACAGGAGGCCUUGUCAAGAGCAGGGUAUGCAGAAGGGUAGGUAAAAGGAGUGGAUAGGUAAAAAGAUUGAAUUCUGUCCCAUUCUAAAGCUCUUCAAGGGACAUCAGUGGUCUCUAACAAGGAUUCACAGGUGUGCAUUUGUGCAACAGAAUUGCCUGGGCUGGUCAGAGCUGGUUUAUUUGGCUGUUCCUUUCUCUUCUAUUAGUAUGGGAACACAAAUUUCUUCAGCUAAUUCAGCUCUGUCCCUAAUGGUGAUUGUCUGGGAUGCUCUCCUUCUUCAGGACUGAAUCCCCAUUCCACUCAUGCUGUUUUGCUGGGGAAGCCUGGGAGAGAGCCUGUCGAUGGCAAUUUGGCUGAGCUACCCAUAUCUGUAGGAAAAGGGCAGCCGUCAGCAGCUCUGUGAAUG